GGUCAGUGAUGAUUGGUAAAAGGUCUGAUUGCACUUAAUGUCACAGCCCCCUUCUGCCCUCAGCUCCCAGCAGCCCAUUUUUUCUCCUGGCACAUUUAAGUCCUGUGCAUGGGGUAAUGGAGCAGCUGAUAACCUGGAUCCUGUGUCAGCCUGUGUUCCUGUGAGUGUGCGGUUCAUGGCUGACAAAUAUCCAACAGAACCAGCUCUGCAGGAGGUCAAAGAGUGGCAGCAGGGGUGUGAUGGUGCAUGAUCUCAAGUUUUCAAUCUGAGACC